rnacentral:rRNA from 1 species
AAUCAACGCUGGCGGCGUGCCUAACACAUGCAAGUCGCACGAGAAAGGGGAGCAAUCCCUGAGUAAAGUGGCGCACGGGUGAGUAACACGUGAAUCAUCCACCUCCGAGUGGGGAAUAACUGAGAGAAAUCUUAGCUAAUACCGCAUAACACUUACGAGUCAAAGCAGCAAUGCGCUUGGAGAGGAGUUCGCGGCCGAUUAGUUAGUUGGCGGGGUAAUGGCCCACCAAGACGAUGAUCGGUAUCCGGCCUGAGAGGGCGCACGGACACACUGGAACUGAAACACGGUCCAGACUCCUACGGGAGGCAGCAGUGGGGAAUUUUGCGCAAUGGGGGAAACCCUGACGCAGCAACGCCGCGUGGAGGAUGAAGUAUCUUGGUACGUAAACUCCUUUCGAUUGGGAAGAUAAUGACGGUACCAAUAGAAGAAGCCCCGGCUAACUUCGU